UACAGAGACUGCGAGCGUUAUUCGGAUUCACUGGGCGUAAAGGGUGCGCAGGCGGCCAAGUGUGUUAGGCGUGAAAGCCCGGGGCUUAACCUCGGAAUUGCACCUAAAACUACUUGGCUAGAGCAUUGGAGAGGGUAGCGGAAUUCACGGUGUAGCAGUGAAAUGCGUAGAUAUCGUGAGGAACACCAGAGGCGAAGGCGGCUACCUGGACAAUUGCUGACGCUCAGGCACGAAAGCGUGGGGAUCAAACAGG
rnacentral:rRNA from 1 species